rnacentral:lncRNA from 1 species
CUCCCACUUCGGGUGGUGCAUUUCAAAUGAAAGCCAGGCUUAAUUAGAGCUUUUGAAGGCUUAAGAGUUAAUGUGUUCCCAUUAAACACUAACCACCAAUUCUUUAUUCUCUGGCUAUGGGUGCUCACAGCCAUGCCAGUGUGGGCUGUGGGGCUGUGCUAGUGGGGACAAUCUCAGGAUCAUGGCACCAUGCCCAGCUUGGGAGAGGCCAGUAGCAGAUGUUUGACCAUUGUGACGCUUGGAAAAAUGUCUUCAGGUUUGGGAAGCUGGGGAUUAAAUGAGUUGUCAAAGGCCGCACAGAGAGCCAGGGGCAGAGCAGGCAGCACGCCACGAGCCUUCACUGCACUCCAAGGCAGCUCCAGACCACACUGCAUCUUAAAGGCAGACGUUCAACAGCCCUGUGGCUUGUAUAGAUGCUUAAAUGGAAGACAAAUUGCAGCAUUUUUGCCUUUAUUUGCACGGGUAACAUCUGUCCAGACUUCUAAACCUGUACAAUGACUGUGUUUAGAAGAUUUCACAGUUUUGUCCCAACCCUGGAAAGAAUGUAAGUCGAUGCUGCUGAUUGCCUUUGAAAACAUUUGGAACAAAUUAUGACUACUUUUGGAAUCCGAAUAAAAGAAUGUGAGCCUCACUGGAGAAAUAUGAA